ACUCAAAGGAAUUGACGGGCACCCGCACAAGCGGUGGAGCAUGCUGUUUAAUUCGAAAAUACGCGAAGAACCUUACCUAGAUUUGACAUCCCGGGCAAAGCGAUAGAAAUAUCGUGGAGGCUAUCCCGGUGACAGAUGGUGCAUGGUUGUCGUCAGCUCGUGUCGUGAGAUGUUUGGUUAAGUCCAACAACGAGCGCAACCCUCAUUUUUAGUUGCUAACAUUCAGUUGAGAACUCUAAAAAUACUGCCGGUGCAAGCCGGAGGAAGGUGGGGAUGAGGUCAAAUCAUCAUGCCUCUUACAUCUAGGGCUACAGGCGUGCUACAAUGGCUGAUACAACGAGUCGCAACACGGUGACGUGAAGCUAAUCUCUUAAAGUCAGUCCCAGUUCGGAUUGGAGUCUGCAACUCGACUCCAUGAAGUUGGAAUCGCUAGUAAUCCCGAAUCAGAAUGUCGGGGUGAAUACGUUCCCGGGUGUUGCACACACCGCCCGU
rnacentral:rRNA from 1 species